rnacentral:rRNA from 1 species
CUCGAGCGGUAGAGAGAAGCUUGCUUCUCUUGAGAGCGGCGGACGGGUGAGUAAUGCCUAGGAAUCUGCCUGGUAGUGGGGGAUAACGUUCGGAAACGGACGCUAAUACCGCAUACGUCCUACGGGAGAAAGCAGGGGACCUUCGGGCCUUGCGCUAUCAGAUGAGCCUAGGUCGGAUUAGCUAGUUGGUGGGGUAAUGGCUCACCAAGGCGACGAUCCGUAACUGGUCUGAGAGGAUGAUCAGUCACACUGGAACUGAGACACGGUCCAGACUCCUACGGGAGGCAGCAGUGGGGAAUAUUGGACAAUGGGCGAAAGCCUGAUCCAGCCAUGCCGCGUGUGUGAAGAAGGUCUUCGGAUUGUAAAGCACUUUAAGUUGGGAGGAAGGGUUGUAGAUUAAUACUCUGCAAUUUUGACGUUACCGACAGAAUAAGCACCGGCUAACUCUGUGCCAGCAGCCGCGGUAAUACAGAGGGUGCAAGCGUUAAUCGGAAUUACUGGGCGUAAAGCGCGCGUAGGUGGUUUGUUAAGUUGGAUGUGAAAUCCCCGGGCUCAACCUGGGAACUGCAUUCAAAACUGACUGACUAGAGUAUGGUAGAGGGUGGUGGAAUUUCCUGUGUAGCGGGGAAAUGCGUAGAUAUAGGAAGGAACACCAGUGGCGAAGGCGACCACCUGGGACUAAUACUGACACUGAGGUGCGAAAGCGUGGGGAGC